GCCUUCGUGAUGUAAUAGGCCAGCACACUUGGCUCGCAUUCGAGAGAUCCGUGGUUCGAGUCCCGGCGAGGACA
rnacentral:tRNA from 1 species